rnacentral:misc_RNA from 1 species
CAUUCAGUAGCCUCGCUACUUGUUUAUACCCUUGUUUUUUGCGUACUAUUGUUUCCUCGGCGGGCUUGCCUGCCGGUUGGACAAAACUAUAACCUUUUUAAAUCUUCAAUCAGCGUCUGAAUUAUACAUAAUAACUUA